UGCGGGUGUGGCGAAAUGGUAGACGCAGUAGACUCAAAAUCUACCGGGAUUAAACCCAUGUCAGUUCGACUCUGACCACCCGCAUC
rnacentral:tRNA from 1 species